UUAAUUAAAAAAACAAUCAUUAACAUACUGCAAAACUUUUUAACUCUUCAAGAAACACAUUGUACUCGUACAUUCUUUCUUCUUUCAAUUUUCAUAAUAACAAUCAUCUUUUACAAAAAAAAAAUAGAAUAGACCCACAAAUUCCAAAAAGAAAAAACACAGACACACAAAAUUAUGGAGAAACAAUUUUUCCCAGAUCUGUUGUUAAAAGGAACAAUGGAGAAAAUAAAUAUAUUAUUCGUUUACAAAUCAGAUCCAUGGAAUAAUUGUAUCACAUCUGAUUUUAGAUAAAAAGAUGGCGAGUUCAAUUUUCAUCAGAUCUAUAUCCAAUCUGAUUCUCCUCCACUUAUAUGUCUUAAAGCGGAAAACUUAUCAAUGAUAUCUUUGUUGAGGAUUUGCUACGAUUGGAACGUUAAAUCUCAAGAAAAGAAAGUGCAAUGGUACGAACUAAUUAACCUCUUGGAUUGUUUGAUGUUAAUGUUAAUAAAUAAAUGGUCUGUCUUUUUUCUUUUUCUAUCAUUUUUUGUUUAUGAUAUUUCUCUCUUUUUUCAAGUGUGAAGAACUAUUUUAAAUGGACUGUAUGUUAGUGUUAAAGAAUGUAACUAUUCCCACUCUUUUCAAAAUAGUAUCCAGCUUCUUUUUCUGAAACUAUAUUGGGUCAGGUGGGAUCUACAUGAGCAACCCAUGACCCAAAAUAACUUAUAGAACGUAUCAAGAGCUAGUUACUAUUUCUAAAAAUUAUUUUGGAAGUUGUAGAUGGUUUAAAUAAGACUCGCAAAUGUAAUUACAAUACUGGUUGAUGGAGAUAAAUAUUAGAUUGUACACCUAAGACUUAAAUAUAUGGUCUAAAUAGAUUUUGAAUUCUAUUUGCCACUAUAAAAGUAUCUACCCUUAUGUCAUAGGGAUUCAACAUUUUUCAUAUAACUAGGAAAAUUAGGUUUUCCUUAAUUGCACAUUUAAUUUUUCAACGAAGGGUUUCUAAUUAACAACAACAUUGCAAUUACCCAAGUGCACCAGUUAAUAAUUGUGCUAACUGCUACCUAUCUAUUCUAAAUGAAUAUGUCUCCUAUAAAUAGUAAUAAGUUUAGUUAAAUAUAUGGCCAAGUUGAUUGAGUUCUUCUAAAAUUAAAGGGAAGUAAAUUCAAACAUAGCAUUAAUGGGAGGAAAUAAAAAAUGUGUGGUGUAAUUUUUGAUAGAGUCUGAAAUGCUUAUGAGUACAACAAAUAUUAGUUAACCUUUUUCCUCCUAGAGAUGGAUUUCUAAAGAAAUGGUUUUGAAAUAUAAAUAUAUGUACGUGAGAUUGAGAUUGUUAUGACAUUUCUGAAAGGAGAUUUGUGUUUUAUCCUACUUUGUGAACUCAUCAAAACCUUAGAUUUGUACCUACCGAAAGGAUUUGAUAGCAUAUUAGGAUUGUCAUGUUGUAGGAUCUAUUAAUAAAGAACCCUUAAAGGCCACAAUUUGUUUAAUCCUACGAGUAAUUGUUAGGUUUCCAAAGGUGUCACCGUAAAAUGAAGCAUUGUGACUUUUAUAAAGAGUUGACUUUUUGAAGAUUUGCUACUUUUAUGAAAAGUUGUGGACCUUUUUGAAUAGUUACGACUUUUAUGAAGAGUUGUGACUUCUACAAAAAGUUACAUUUUUUCAUAAAACUAUGGCUUUUCUGAAGGGUUUUGACUUUUUCAAAGGACUCUGACCAUUCCUAUAAGACCAAAUAAGCACUCGCUUACACUAAACUCUGUUGUCUAUAUAUAUAAAGGAGUUUCCUCUUAUUUUUCAAUAACAAAUAACUUAUUUCUUAACUUCCUCUUCUAUUAAGCCUAAUAUUAUAAGUGUAAUUUACUGUUGUUGAGUGGUUUCCCGACACCGUGGUUUUUGGUACCAAUACACGGGUGAUUAAUAUCAUUCUAUCCUAUGAGGAUAUAUUCUAACCUUCGAUACUUGAGGGGAACAAUUUUCUAAGGAGACUGUACAUUCUAUGAGCUCGAUUUUCUUCUUUGAGAAAAAUAUUUCAUUUAUUAUAUUUAAUUUUUUUCAGGUUCUAUUUGCUUUAGUGUUUUAACGUUUAUAGGUUUAAAAAUACUCAUUAAAAUAAGUAUAUUAGCAAUAGAAGUUGAAAAUCAAUAAUAGUAACACGCCAAAGGUGGCUUGGAACUUUAGUCUUUUAUGUAGGCAUGUUGCAUUAUACACAAACAUUCUGUGGGUUAGUUUUGAUAUUUCUUUUUUGUUUUUCUUUCCUUACGAGGAGAGUGUUUUUGUAGCUUAUGCUGAAAGGUAUUAAGUUUAUCUUCAUCUAAAACAUAGGUGUCUUUUUUCCUAGGGAGUAUACCCAACUUUUGGCUUUUCUCCUUUAGUUUCUUUUUUCUUUCUCCAAGAGUAAUUUUAUAUCCAAAACUAAAUUGCUUUAUGAUGUGGACUUCUAUAAUUUCUUCUAAAGUUUCUUCUUUCCUUUUCUAUGGUUUCAUCAGUUUCAUUGUACACUUGUUGUAUAUAAUGGGAUUGCAUCUAGAAUAAAUUACAUUUGACUCCAGUAUUAAAGUAUGACUCUAGUGAAGGUUUACCAUAUUCUCUUGUAGAAUGGCCAAAUGUUGACGAUAAGUGGGUCUGGGAGGCUGGAAAAAGAGCUACAAGUUUAGGCACCUUAAGGAUAGAUUUUUAUAUUUUCAGAAGCAUUUUCAGGAUCCAAAAGGUGGAAAAAAAAAUGCUUUAGAAGUAAGAUUUCAAUGGAAAAGUAUUUCAAUUCUGAGUAUCCUGGUAUGGAUAUCAACUAAUUCUUUGCCUCAAUUAGCUGGGUGAUUUAUUCUAAGCACUCACAGGGCUCAAAAGGUUAUCUUCGAUAAGGCUCUUUGGUAUAUAUCAUGUAUAGAUAUAUUCGGCCGUUUGCAUCAAUUAAAAAUGAUCUUCAUAUAUGUAUUGAUUUUGAUUAAGAAAUGAAAGAUAGGAAUACAUCUCCCGGGACCGAGUGCACCCUAUACUAUCUGCAUCAGAGCCAAUACUUAUAAGGAUGGUCACAUAUGUUGUAGAGGUUUGAUAAUCACUGAAGCUGAGUUUGGUAAAACUGAAGCUGAAUUUGACAUUUCUCCUAUUUUCCUCAAGCAUGCUUGAAUUAAUCUAAUUCUGAUUAUGCUUUUAUUAUUCUUCCUCUAGUAGAAUUUCUACUCUUCCAUACGGAGAAGUUAAUAACUUCUAGGGAGUUGGAUUAGAUAGAGAAGGUGGUAGUGGUAAACCUUCCUUUCCUAUUCGUUAUCCACUUGCAUUAGCUCGUGGGCUAGAGUUACAAACAAAUGGAAGAUCUAUGGUAUUUAUGUCGAGGGCUCGUGAACCACUAGCUCUCCCUCUUGGUACUCCUAAAACCCUUUACAUAGAGGGACUUCCUCCGGACAGCUCCAGAAGACAUGUAGCUCAUACAUAUUCAUAUGUCAUUUACUGAAUCAUUAUUAAUUUCUGAAUAUAUUUGUUGCUUUUACCCUAUUACACUUAAAAGAUAUUUAGAAACAAGCAACAAAUAUAAUGAUUAAGAGAUAUUUGGGAACAAGCAACAAAUAUAAUGAUAUAGUAAAGGACAUCUCAAAGGAUAUGAGCUACUUCUCUUCUAGAGAAGUCCGGAGGAAGUCCCUCUAUGUAGAGGGUGUUAGAUGCACCAGGAAGGAGAUGUAGCAUUUCACGACACAUGGACAUAAAUACCAUAGAUUUUUCAUUUGGUGCUAGCCCUGGCCCACGAGUUGAUGGAAAUGUAUCACGAACAAGAAGGGAAAGUAUACCACCACCACCUUCUCGAGUUAAUCCAACUCCUUUGCAGAUAUUAACUUCUACGUCUUGAAGACAAAAAUGUUGUUACGAGAGGAGGAAGAAGAAUAAUAAAAACAGAAUCCAAAUUAGUACGAAAUUCAAGCAUGCCAGAGGAAUGUAUGAGCAGUGUCAGCCUUUUCAAGAGACCAUGCUUUUUGAUAUUUGUUGCAUUGAGCCUAGUCUUUUCCAAGACUAUUGUUGUAACCUUAGUUGUAAACUUAUAAAUUUGGACUAUGAUGGUACAUUUAUAUUCAAUGUGAAGCAACAGUAGAUGGCUACAUAUGUGGGAAUGUUUUCCAUCUAUACUGGGCUCAAUGAGUUUCCAUGGCUGCGACACUCGGAUGAACCAUAUAUUUGGAUCAAGAGUAUUUUUGUCAACACUAUGAUUCAAGGACGAAUUUUGUUUCACAAGUAGUGAAGCUUUAAAGAAUUUACAAUUUUUUUCCUUCUCAUGUUUACAUCGAAAUGAUGUUAAAUGUUGGCAUAUGUACUUUGUGUGGCUUACAAAAAAAGAAUGAAAAAGAAUUGUUGCAUCGUAUUGAAUCAAUUAAGGACAAGUUAUAGCUAAUUGAUGAAUUUUACUUUGUUUCCUUAUGAUGCAAUAUUUUUCUAAUUUGAGGUUUAUAGUUACUAGAAAGACCAAUUUUACAAUCAUAUCAGCUUACGAAAGGAAUCUGCAUUCAAGAUGCAUUAAAAAAGAAAGUUGUGUGAAUGACAUUGGUAGCUUCUCUGCCUGGUCAUUAUCUUAUUUGGUUGAUCUAUCACUUUGACUUGAAUAUUUGUACCUAAGCAAAUUAUUUUAGUAUGUGAAAUUGUGGAUAAAAAAUACAUACGUUUUUUCUUUGUAUGUUUCGUCUAUUUAAGUGAUUCCUAUUGUCAAAAAAUACCAAAAACACUUGUUGGAACUAAACAAAACAUUCUUUCUUAUUCUUGUAGGUUUUGUUUUAGUUGUGGUAUGUUGCUUCCUCAUCUUGUUUUCAUCUUUAUGCGAAUCAAUCUCCUUGAUUUUGGUAGUGUGUGAUUUCCAUGUUUAGAUUUAAGCCUACUUUUCAUAGAUUUUGAAUAUCUCAUAUUUAUUUUUAUUUUGCAUUGAUCAUUUAGAAUUAGUUAUUGGUAAGUUACCGAA